rnacentral:lncRNA from 1 species
GCAAGGAAAGCUCAUUCAUUUCUUUGGUGUAGGUUAAAAGUCUACAGCUUGGGCUCACGGUAUUUAUUAUUUUUGGGCCAUAGCAUUUUGAUUUGAUGUAAAGUUUUAAGCAAAAUUAGCAGUUUUCAUUCCCUAUUGGAGUAAAAGAAUUAUUUUCUCCCUUGUUCUUGGUUUAAGGUUUUGUUCAUAAUCUUCUUUCUUUAUUCCAUUCUUCUCUCCCCCUCCUCCCAGUGCUAACUUGGGACAAACAGUUCAGCCUUUGCCUCAACACAGAUAAAAGCACCUGUAAGCAAUUCUCUGUCCACUUGUCUUAUGUGCUGAUUUCUCAAAUCUGCAAUAAUCCAUCAGGUUAAUGAUUUUACCUGAAAAUAAAAAAAAAGCCUGCUUUACCUUUUUGUUUAUAGUUCUGUGCUGUAUGCAUCGCUUCAGUUGUGUAGAUGUAUUUCAGUGGACGUAAAUCAUCACGUCUCCGUGACUUGAGUCAUGGCUGAUUUUCCUAUUCCAAGAAUUUAUAAUAGCAACUUGAAGAACAUGAAACGUGGAAAGAAAAUGGGAGGAGAUACCUUCCUUUCUAAGGUUCUAAAUUAAGCCUGUUGCAUAAAUUGGAGAGAAUUUCCAUAAUUCAUCUUUUUUAAAAUAAUGAGAUGAAUUAAUUGUUUUUCUACUGAACUUUGAGAAAUCAAUUUUGUUUUAUUGACUGUUCCAAAGUCUUAAUUGAUGUAAAAGCCCCUUGUUCCCUAUCCUACCACCAAAAAGAAAUUUGGUGGCGUGUUUUAUUUACAUUACUUUGUUUGUUACACUUAAAUGGCCUUAUAUGGAGCAUGACUUCUUCACAGUGAACUUGAGCGGUGCCCCACGAAGUACGAUGGAGCAUUGAAUCAGGCAAAAUUAGUGCUAAAGAAUGAGCCGGUUUGUUUUAAACUGUUCUGAUACCUUUUUACAAACUAAGCACAAAGAUUUUUGCGUGAACAUAGCAUUUCGUUCCUCACUUUUUUUAAAGGGUCCUAUUGUUAAAAUUUAGACGUAUGUAUAAGGAAAGUAAUGUUUCAUAUUAAAAUAUCUGUAUUUGACAUUUUAUCCAUAUGGUGGCCCAGGCAGAUUUGGCCUCGCUGAUUUCAGCAUCUAAUGAGUACGUUUGAUCGUUUUUGAAUCAAACCCUGGAGCUUGAGUGUUUCAAAAUCAAUAGUUAUCUGUUUAAAUGUUUUCAGUCUUUAGCUUACUCCUUAAUAUGUGGGACCCUUGGUUAAUUAGGGGCUGGAAGACUUUUCCCAUUUUAAAGCAAUCUCUCUUGGCAGAGGCCUUAAUAUUGCAUCAUAGGGAAAAAGCAUAUACUUCAUUUGCUGUUAUUCCAGUUAUGCCUUAAAUUUGUUUGCUUAGUCAUCCUAUCAACAAGCACUAAUUCCUCAGCAUGCUUCACACACAUAGACAGUUGGGUCAUAACUGAGAUUUUGUCAUCCUGCAGUUUUUGCCGAGAUGGAAUCAGGUCUUCAUCACAGCUGACGCCAACUGUGUGGUGGUGUCAUUUAGACAGUUCCAGUUUGAUCUGCUUUGUAUAUGAGAACAUAUUUUUAACUAUUUCACUUUAAGAAGGAAAGAAGAGGUAGUUAAAUAUAGUAAUCCCUUCCUCCCAGUCCCACAAAAGUGAAUUGUAAGUUCUAGGUAGUCUAAUUGGGAACAGACAUGGACAGAGUUCUAGAUGCCUUAGCCAAACCCAGCAGAAACCUUUCGCACAGCUCCUCAUUGUAAGGAUACAGAUUUCUCUCUUCCUGUGCUUCAGCUCUGGUUCUGGUGUGUAGUGAGAGUGAACUUUCUUUCACCUUAGCAUUCAGUGAAGAAGGUAAUGUCCUUAAGUCCCUCUUUCCUGCAUUUGGCUGUUAGGAACAUAACAUGAAAAGGAGCGGUGCAGCUGACCAACUGUGACGGUCGCUUCCUGUUCUGGAGUUACUUCCCUAGGGCAUCCUGUGCAUAAAGGCCACACAGCUGAAGGACAAAGCCUCAACUUCUACAUCCAAGAAAUUAGAUCCAACUCUUGAUUUUCCUCAGUGAGGAUUAUUGCCAGCAAAUUGUAAGUCUGUCCUCCCUCUAGUUCAUCAGGUGUUGAGGCUGUGCUCCCAAUUCCUGCCAGGGAGCAUGAGCUCAGGAAAAGGGAAUGUCACUGACACUCCAAGAAGAAAAUGUGAUUGAGAAAGGAGCCUUGCUGGGAAAGACGUUCAGAGUGCAUUCAGAAACCUAAGCCUUCUGGGGGAUUCUGGAUGGUGCGCUUCAUUGUUAGCAAAGAUGAUCAAGCCUUUAAUUCAUUUAUCUUAGGCUUUGUUUUUUGGACCCAUUUUCUUCUCCCUACUGUAAUAAGAACAUUGUUUGGAAAUGUCAUACUCUGUAUUUCCAAUUCUCUGAGAAAUGCGUAUGUCUGAGUCUUAGGGUUGACAUUGCAGUAGUUGGCAUACAUGGGAAAGGAUAACCUAGUGACAAAUCACGGGGAAUGCUUCCUUUGUUACCUCAAAAAAAUUCCAGACAAAAUAUAGCAUUUAUAUUUAUAGGAAACAGAGGAUUGGCUGUUUUCCAAGAACUUCAAGUUAAUUCUUAUGCAAGAAAAAGUUCUUAACUCUAAAGACUUGUUCUGCGUAAAGGAGACAUUCUUUAAUAAUGGAAGAGGUGGUUUUAUUUUUACAACAAGCCUGCUCAUACUACCAAACCUAUAACCAAUUGCUGAUCUCCUGUGUAAAGCAUUUUUUUUCUCUUACCUGAAACAGUGAUUUAUAUGAACUGUUGGAAUAAUGGAACCUCAAACUACAGAUGUGUAUGUAAAAUUGCAUAAAUGCACUGACUUCCUUCUCCCUGAAUAUAUUUUUAAUAAA